AGUCGAGCGAAUGGAUUGAGAGCUUGCUCUCAAGAAGUUAGCGGCGGACGGGUGAGUAACACGUGGGUAACCUGCCCAUAAGACUGGGAUAACUCCGGGAAACCGGGGCUAAUACCGGAUAACAUUUUGAACUGCAUGGUUCGAAAUUGAAAGGCGGCUUCGGCUGUCACUUAUGGAUGGACCCGCGUCGCAUUAGCUAGUUGGUGAGGUAACGGCUCACCAAGGCAACGAUGCGUAGCCGACCUGAGAGGGUGAUCGGCCACACUGGGACUGAGACACGGCCCAGACUCCUACGGGAGGCAGCAGUAGGGAAUCUUCCGCAAUGGACGAAAGUCUGACGGAGCAACGCCGCGUGAGUGAUGAAGGCUUUCGGGUCGUAAAACUCUGUUGUUAGGGAAGAACAAGUGCUAGUUGAAUAAGCUGGCACCUUGACGGUACCUAACCAGAAAGCCACGGCUAACUACGUGCCAGCAGCCGCGGUAAUACGUAGGUGGCAAGCGUUAUCCGGAAUUAUUGGGCGUAAAGCGCGCGCAGGUGGUUUCUUAAGUCUGAUGUGAAAGCCCACGGCUCAACCGUGGAGGGUCAUUGGAAACUGGGAGACUUGAGUGCAGAAGAGGAAAGUGGAAUUCCAUGUGUAGCGGUGAAAUGCGUAGAGAUAUGGAGGAACACCAGUGGCGAAGGCGACUUUCUGGUC
rnacentral:rRNA from 1 species